rnacentral:rRNA from 1 species
GACGAACGCUGGCGGCGUGCCUAAUACAUGCAAGUAGAACGCUGAAGGAGGAGCUUGCUUCUCUGGAUGAGUUGCGAACGGGUGAGUAACGCGUAGGUAACCUGCCUGGUAGCGGGGGAUAACUAUUGGAAACGAUAGCUAAUACCGCAUAACAGUAGAUGUUGCAUGACAUUUGCUUAAAAGGUGCAAUUGCAUCACUACCAGAUGGACCUGCGUUGUAUUAGCUAGUUGGUGGGGUAACGGCUCACCAAGGCGACGAUACAUAGCCGACCUGAGAGGGUGAUCGGCCACACUGGGACUGAGACACGGCCCAGACUCCUACGGGAGGCAUGCAGUAGGGAAUCUUCGGCAAUGGACGGAAGUCUGACCGAGCAACGCCGCGUGAGUGAAGAAGGUUUUCGGAUCGUAAAGCUCUGUUGUAAGAGAAGAACGAGUGUGAGAGUGGAAAGUUCACACUGUGACG